rnacentral:rRNA from 1 species
GUAGGGGCCAAACGUUUGUCCGGAUUUAUUGGGCGUAAAGGGCUCGUAGGCGGUUCAACAAGUCGGUCGUGAAAACCCGGGGCUCAACCCCGGGACGCCGGUCGAAACUGUUGUGACUAGGGUCCGGUAGAGGUGAGUGGAAUUCUCGGUGUAGCGGUGGAAUGCGCAGAUAUCGAGAGGAACACCAGUUGCGAAGGCGGCUCACUGGGCCGGUACCGACGCUAAGGAGCGAAAGCAUGGGGAGCAAACAGGAUUAGAUACCCUGGUAGUCCAUGCCGUAAACUGUGAACACUAGGUGUGGCGGAUCUAUUGAUGUCUGCCGUACCGUAGCUAACGCGUUAAGUGUUCCGCCUGGGGAGUACGGCCGCAAGGCUA